UCUCUGGUAGUAUAUCGGAUAGUACACCCGCCUGUCACAUCAUAACCAGGUUGCUGUGCGCGGGAAAGCGGGGUUCGAUUCCCCGCCAGAGAG